GGAUGGGGAGCGCCGCGGCGCCUUCUGGCGGGCGCGGAGAAGAUUGCUCAAGCAAGGAGCCUCCCAGGAUGGUCCUCUUCACAUCCCUUCGUCCCCAAACCUCCCUGUCUCAGAAGCCGAUUCCCGGUCCCUGCCAUUUCCCCAUUCGUUCACUGUGUAGCCCCAGGAAGGGCGAUUGGGUACAGUGUGCGGUCUAACCUCGUUUCGAGAAACACUUGGAUGGAGAUGAGGUAAAGAAAACCAGCCAGCCCUUGAGAUAAACACUGCCUAACGAGCAACAAAGACGGCCGCCUCCCUCUGAUCCCUCGGCUCCGAAUUCCAGCGAUCAACCUAGGCAAGCCGUUACUCAAUGGCCUACUUCCCCUAACUGCUUCUUGGUACAGACUUGAGGAGAAACCGUCGAUACUAGUUAGAUGGACAGUGAUGUAGGCCAUAGGUAGCUUGACCCCUGACCCUGACCAGAAUCAAAGUCCUUCCGAAAAGAUCCCCUAAGCAAGAGGUGAAGGGAAAUAUUAGUAAACCUGCCUAUAUAAAAUGCUUACUGGAGAGGUGGCUUAGUGGUUAAGAGUACUGGCUGAUCUCCGGAAGGACCUGGGUUUAAUUCCCAGCACCCAUAUGGCAGCUCACAACGAUACUACCUGAGUCAGUCGAUGGAGACUGUGAUCCACAUCACAUAGCAAGCCACACACUUCCACUUUCCUAAUCAAGGUGGUUGACCCAACUGCACUGGAUCAAUGAGAGAGCUGGGGACCGAACCCAGGGCCUUGCGCUUGCUAGGCAAGCGCUCUACCACUGAGCUAAAUCCCCAACCCCGAUCAGUAAUUUUUUUAAAGGAGGAAUUUUAUAUUACUGAAAAUACAAGAUUGUCAUCAAAUGAAAAAUAAGAAAGAUAGCGGAAGUUCUGUUGUUCAUUGUUCCCAGAGCAACUUUUCUCCUGGGCUUUUAUGUUAUCUAAGAUAAGAGCUUACACACAUAGCUCUGUUACAGACGAACUGGCUCAAGAAAUUGUCUCUGGAGUUGAAGACUUGGUAACCACAGAGAGGAAGUAUUGCUUGAACUAAGAUAAGUGUAUGUGCAGACUAUUCUCAAGAGUACAAAAGCCGACUUAAGUCUUAGACUUUCUUCAACACAUGGUAAAUUGUCAAAAACAGGCUUUUAAAAAGAGCACCUACAUUGUGUGUGUGUGUGUGUGUGUGUGUGUGUGUGUGCACGCUCGUGCGGAUGUGUGCACGCUGUGAGAAUACCACAACGCCAGUGUGGCACUCACAGGACAUGCUGAGAGCCUCUGCUCUCUCCCUACUACUUCUGUGUCCCCAGAAUGGACCGCAGGUUGUCAGGCUUGGCAGGAAAUGCCUUCUCCAUCUCAUUAGCCUAAGAGGUUUGAUUUUGCUUCAUAUGAGUGCAGAGAUCUGUGUAUCUUUUACUGUAGUGUUUUGCCUGCCUGUGCGUUUGUUCUCUAUGUGUGUGGAGACCAGAAGGCAUCAGAUCCUCUAGAACUGGAAUUACAGAGAGUUGCGAGUCACCAUGUGGGUGCUGGGGACUAAAUCGUCUUUCCAAUCUCUGCAUUAUCUUUCUCAUAAAGACAAACAAGCUCUUUGGACUCAUUUCCAGUUUUAGUCAAAGGUUGAGACAGGGAAAGUUAAAGAUGAACCUAGAAUUAUAGAAAAUAAUUAGUUAAAAAAAAACACAAAAACAAAACUAAACAAGGGCUGGGGAGGAGGCUCUUGCACAGGACUCAGGGUUGGUUAGUUCCCAGAACCCAUUGAGUUACACACAUACACAUUCACACACAUACACACACUCACACACAUACACACACACAAACAUACACAUACCCACAUACACACACGCACACACACUCACCCAUACAUUCACACACACACAAACAUACACAUGCCCACAUACACACACACAUGCACACACUCAUACAUACACACACAUGCACACACACACAUACACACUCAUACAUACACACACAGACUCACACAAACAUACACACAUACACGCACACACUCACACAUGCACACACAUACACACACAUACACUCGCACAUACACACACACAAAAUGUAAUUUUAGAAACUUUUAAAAGCAUUGUUUUUAAAAUUG
ensembl:lncRNA